rnacentral:rRNA from 1 species
GGAUGCGAUCAUACCAGCACUAAAGCACCGGAUCCCAUUAGAACUCUGAAGUUAAGCGUGCUUUGGCGAGAUUAGUACUAGGAUGGGUGACCUCUUGGGAAGUCCUCGUGUUGCACUCA